AUUGAACGCUGGCGGCAGGCCUAACACAUGCAAGUCGAGCGGAGCGGCGGACGGGUGAGUAAUGCCUAGGAAUCUGCCUGGUAGUGGGGGAUAACGUCCGGAAACGGGAGCUAAUAACGCAUACUCUCAGCUGAGCCUAGGUGGGAUUAGCGAGUUGGGGGGGUAAAGGCCUACCAAGGCGACGAUCCGUAACUGGUCGGAGAGGGUGAUCAGUCACACUGGAACUGAGACACGGUCCAGACUCCUACGGGAGGCAGCAGUGGGGAAUAUUGGACAAUGGGCGAAAGCCUGAUCCAGCCAUGCCGCGUGUGUGAAGAAGGUCUUCGGAUUGUAAAGCACUGUAAGUUGGGAUGCGGUACCAACAGAAUAAGCACCGGCUAACUACGUGCCAGCAGCCGCGGUAAUUC
rnacentral:rRNA from 1 species